rnacentral:rRNA from 1 species
CCUAGUACGGCGAGUGAAGCGGCAACAGCUCAAAUUUGAAAGCUAGCCUUCGGGUUCGCAUUGUAAUUUGUAGAGGAUGAUUUGGGGAAGCCGCCUGUCUAAGUUCCUUGGAACAGGACGUCAUAGAGGGUGAGAAUCCCGUAUGUGACAGGAAAUGGCACCCUAUGUAAAUCUCCUUCGACGAGUCGAGUUGUUUGGGAAUGCAGCUCUAAAUGGGAGGUAAAUUUCUUCUAAAGCUAAAUAUUGGCGAGAGACCGAUAGCGCACAAGUAGAGUGAUCGAAAGAUGAAAAGCACUUUGGAAAGAGAGUUAAAAAGCACGUGAAAUUGUUGAAAGGGAAGCGCUUGCAAUCAGACUUGUUUAAACUGUUCGGCCGGUCUUCUGACCGGUUUACUCAGUUUGGACAGGCCAGCAUCAGUUUCGGCGGCCGGAUAAAGGCUCUGGGAAUGUGGCCUCCACUUCGGUGGAGGUGUUAUAGCCCAGGGUGUAAUACGGCCAGCCGGGACUGAGGUCCGCGCU